ACUAUAUGAAUAAUUAUUUUGUGGUGUCAAACUGAGAGUUUGAAGUGUUUCAUUGGACAAGAACCCUUACCGGAAAACUUCAAAUUCACCGUCGAAAGUCUCAGCGGCGGAGUUAAGCAUUGAUGUCAUCACCUCCACGCGGCCAAAUGGAGGCAGAUGAAAGUUUAACGCCCAAACUGUGAGGAGGAAGGCUGAGAAGUACGAUGCCUCCAAAAACCAUCUCUUUCAGCUGGGUCGGGAUAAUCUUAAGAGGAGGAAGUUCCAUAUAGCAAAUAGACACUACAUGUGCUUGUGCAACCCAGAAUCUAUCAAUCACCUGUGUCUUCGUGCACUGUUGCCACAGACCUUCUAUACAUGUUCUUUUCUCUCUUUGGACUGACUUGGACCAUGGCAGGCUCUUUGAGAGACGCUUUUGUGUGCUGGUGCUCCUAAAAAGUUGGGAAGUGCAUCAAAAUGAUCUGGUCUUUGGUUCCUACUUUUGUAUUUUGUGCUGCUUAUGGAUAGAGAGGAACAAAAGGUGUUUUCAUGGCAUCUCAACUCCCAUUUCCUCUCUUAAGGCUAGAUGUCUCAUGUGUGAUUAGUCGUUUUAGGUUGGUCAACCACUCCUCUGUAAUUACUGUUGAAUCUUUCCUAGAAUAUAUCAGCUCAAUAGAUCUAUGUUGAUAGUUAUGAUAGCUUUUUUCACCUUUGUGGGAGCUGAUAAUCUCUUCGUAAUGCUUGCAUCUUCUUGAUGCUUUUUGUUGGUGAUAUCCUUUUUAUUUCAUCAAGAACCAUGAAAGUUUUAUUGUGGAA